CCUACGGGUGUCAGCAGUGAGGAAUAUUGCACAAUGGGGGGAACCCUGAUGCAGCGACGCCGCGUGGGUGAAGGAGUAUUUCGGUAUGUUAAGCCCUAUCAGCAGUGAAGAACAAUGACGGUACCUGACUAAGACGCACCGGCUAAAUACGUGCCAGCCGCCGCGGUAAUACGUAUGGUGCCAGCGUUAUCCGGAUUUACUUGGUUUAAAGGGAGCGCUUGCGGCGCUUUAAGCCUGGUGUGAAAGCCCGCGGCCCAACCGCGGGACUGCAGUUGAAACUGGCGCGCUGGAGUGCCGGAGAGGUAGGCGGAAUGCCUAGUGUAGCGGUGAAAUGCGUAGAUAUUAGGAGGAACACCAGUGGCGAAGGCGGCCUACUGGACGGUGACUGACGCUGAGGCUCGAAAGCGUGGGGAGCAAACAGGAGUAGAUACCCGAGUAGUC
rnacentral:rRNA from 1 species